ensembl:lncRNA
AGAAAUAAGAAAAACGAAAAUACAAAUAGGAAAAAACACAACGGAAGUGUUUCUGGGGAGACAAUAACCCAACGAACCAGUUGCAGGAAGCAAAAUAAGCUCCGGACCCCACGUGACUACCAGUUGUCAGGUGACCAUUUUGGCAGCAACAUGAACAACAACGCCACUCAUCCCAGAUCUAUGCUAUCCGGACAUACAUAACUACCUUAUAAACUUCCCAUCGUACUACUCGGGGGACUCGGGCUACAAAUGGACUCAAUCUGGCUUUGUAACAAACAUUCAGCUGUGGAAUCUUCAAGCAAAAAAAAUUCUGGAUCAUCACUGGAAAGGUUCAACAUUCCCAGAGGCUUAAUGAACUGCAGUUAAAGCCAUAGGUAGUAGUGAGAAAAGA